UACGUAGGGACCGAGCGUUGUCCGGAAUCAUUGGGCGUAAAGAGCGUGUAGGCGGCUUGCUAAGUCUUGCGUGAAAUCUCGGGGCUCAACCCCGAGCGGAUCGUGGGAACUGGCAGGCUAGAGUGCGGGAGAGGAGAAUGGAAUUCCGUGGGUGUAGCGGUGAAAUGCGCAGAUAUCAGGAAGAACACCCGUGGCGAAGGCGGUUCUCUGGAACGCAACUGACGCUGAGACGCGAAAGCGUGGGGAGCAAACAGG
rnacentral:rRNA from 1 species